GCUGAUGGAGUCUCCGCUGGCGAGAGACGCUACGUUCUCAGCGUAGAGGUCGCGGGUUCAAUUCCUGUCAUCAGCA
rnacentral:tRNA from 1 species